UUAUUAAAUAUUCGUUUUAGGGUAAAUGCACCAAUUAUUGACCGAUUAAGGUUUUCUUUUUCUGUACUAAGCUAUAAAAAAUCUAUUAACCUACUAAAAACAAUUUGUAAUGGAUUUUAUUAAAGUUAAAUACUUAAUUAAUAAUAAUUAAUAACUAUUUAUAAUAAAAAUUAACAAAAUUAUAUUAAUUUUGAUAUUUGAAUCUUGAAAUACUAAAAUCACCAAUUAUUGACCGAUGAAACCCAAUAAAUGACCGACCGUUCUCCAAUUAAUUGACCGCUGAAAUAAUUAUAAGUAAUUUUGUAAACUACAUGUAUGUAAUUAAAUUUAUGCAGUACUUUUGAAGUAUUAACGACAUCUUUAACAAAACUAAACAUACAAUAUAAUUUUAAAUCGUACUUUUUUAUAAAAUAAUAUAAAUAAUAGCAAUAAU